rnacentral:rRNA from 1 species
AUUGAACGCUGGCGGAAUGCUUUACACAUGCAAGUCGAACGGUAGAGGGGGCAACCCCCUUGAGAGUGGCGAACGGGUGAGUAAUAUAUCGGAACGUGCCCAGUCGUGGGGGAUAACGUAGCGAAAGUUACGCUAAUAACGCAUACGAUCUAAGGAUGAAAGCGGGGGACUCGCAAGAGCCUCGCGCGAUUGGAGCGGCCGAUAUCAGAUUAGGUAGUUGGUGGGGUAAAGGCUCACCAAGCCAACGAUCUGUAGCUGGUCUGAGAGGACGACCAGCCACACUGGAACUGAGACACGGUCCAGACUCCUACGGGAGGCAGCAGUGGGGAAUAUUGCACAAUGGGCGCAAGCCUGAUGCAGCCAUGCCGCGUGUGUGAAGAAGGCCUCGG